rnacentral:tRNA from 13 species
GUAGUCGUGGCCAGUGGUUAAGGCGAUGGCCUUGAAAUCCAUUGGAUAUUCCCGCGCGGUUCGAAUCCUGCCGACUACG